UGUAAUUGUUGAUGUUAGGAUUUUCUUCUCCCUCCACCUAUCCUGUAAUGCUGACGAAGACUCUACAGUGCUAUGGUUUGUGGUUGCUUCAAGUCUGUUUUCUUUCAUUUGGUUAGAUGUCUCUUUGACUCAGCUCCUGGUGUGUUUUGACAUAUCUGGCUAAGUUCUUUACUGUUUUCUUAUCUUCUUUUCUCUAAUGUUGAAUGGUCAACCAUUAAACAUCCAUUAGGAGUUCUAAGCUUUAAAAAUGAAAAUGUCCCACCUUGUUCAUUGAUGCAUUUUUGCUACCUGGUUAACAGGAAGAAUUAAAAUAUUAAUCUAUUACAGUCUCCCUCUUGAUGGAUUUGAUUUGCAUGAUCAGGUUGUCCUUAUUUCCGUCCUUAUCCAGAAUUGAAAACCCUUGCCAGAGGGUUUAACCAAAUUAUUUGAAUAAUAAAUCUGCAUCUUGGCCCCUUGUAAAAAACAGGACCACAGGCUUCAUGAAUGAGUAAAGGCCCAGCCUAUAUUCAAGGAUUUAUGGUGAAACAACAUCAAAAUAUUCUAAUUUAUGUGAUCACAUCAAAGGGAGACUUGAGACAACACAUGUAUAAACCAUUGUUUAAAAAAAAAGCACAAAUAUAAAAGCUAAAUUUAUCUUCAGUAUAAUCUCAGAUGGGAACUUUCAUCAGCAUGAUCUGAUCUGUGAACAGUCUUUUCAGAAGCCGAGUGUCUUCCUGUCUGUUUUUAUCUGCAGUGAGGAGCUGCAGACAGAUCAGAGUGUGCAGAGCAGACAGCUCAGAAACAGAUGGGAGGAAACCUGGAGUGACAGAAGGAUGCAGCUUAUUUAGACGAUCUCACAGCGCGACGUGAUGAAGUGAC